CAAUUGCAAAAAGUAAUAGGGGUAGUUAGAAUUAACCCAAACAAAGACUCUGUCACUAGACGGACCAAUUUAUCCUUUGAAGAUUAGUAAUUCAACAAUGGCGAUUGUUCUUCUUCCUUUGUUCUCCAUACUUUCUUCAGUUGACACAACCCAAAGACUUCCGUACAAUCCACACCGUACAACUCCCAAAAAAACCCAAACCCCUGAUUCUCUAUCCGCCAUUUCAACUCUUUCAUUGUUCCCUUCUACCAGCCGUCCGAAUAUUUCGGUUUCGAACCUUCUUAAACGUGAAAUUCCAAAGUCUACGCAAGUGAAACCGGAUGGAACAUAUAUGGGGUACGACGUAUGGCUACCAAGUGCACCCAAAGUUGAGAAGCCUCGGUCUGUGUUUAAUGCAGCCUCCCUAGCUUACAUUGGAGAUUGCAUCUUUGAGCUAUAUGCAAGGAGGCAUUUUUUAUUCCCACCAUUGAGCAUCGAAGAGUACAAUGAUCGAGUCAUGGCAGUAGUGCGGUGUGAAGCACAAGAUGCUAUGUUGCAGAAACUUAAGAACGACAAUAUAUUGUCAGAAGAGGAAAGGGGCGUGCUUCGUUGGGGAAAAAAUGUUGGUUCAGGAAAAACGAAGACAAAAAAGCGUGCUGGUGUGGCUGUUUACAACAGAGCGUCUUCACUUGAAACACUUUUUUCAGGUUGGUUAUCUCUACCUUACAAAUGUGCAAAGGCUUGAAGAAAUCAUGCUGAAGUUGGGCUUCCACAUAGGUGACUCUACCCUGCCAAUUGUGGAGAGAAUAGAUGGUACAACAAGGUGAUGUUGGAGGAAGAGAUGAAGCUCAUGAAGAUAAAAAGACAGACAUUUCCAUUACCAUGCUGAAACAAUUGAGUUUCUCAAAAACAACAUAGUUCGUGGAGACUUGAGGAAGGUUGUCAUCACCUCUUCAUGUGCUCUAUCAUUUAAAUAUCACAAGAGCUUGGAUGUGAGUGGACUUUUAGUAUUUCAAACCUUAGGAAGAAAAUGAGAAGUCGUAUUAGUUGUUCAUAAAUGAAGAAACAUUUAGACUUACAAUAGAGAUAUGAUCUCCACUUGAAUACUUCCCAAAAUUACAUGCAUCAUCAGCAAAAUGGAGUUAGGAAUGUGUUUAGAUUGCUCAUUCACGGUUCUCAGUAUGAGGGUAAAUGUGUACAUGGAUACGUUUAUAAGCAACUAUGUUUAUAUCAGGUACAUUUGUCAUGUAAUAUGUGUUGAGCUUGAAUUUUGAAAAGAAUUAAUUUGAGCUUUUCUAGUUUUCACUA